UGCCUAAGGGUUUAGUAUUACCCCUUAGGCUACACAGGUAGCAUGUAGCA
rnacentral:sRNA from 1 species